UACGUAGGGGGCAAGCGUUAUCCGGAUUUACUGGGUGUAAAGGGAGCGUAGACGGAGCAGCAAGUCUGAUGUGAAAACCCGGGGCUCAACCCCGGGACUGCAUUGGAAACUGUUGAUCUGGAGUGCCGGAGAGGUAAGCGGAAUUCCUAGUGUAGCGGUGAAAUGCGUAGAUAUUAGGAGGAACACCGGAGGCGAAGGCGGCUUACUGGACGACAACUGACGUUGAGGCUCGAAGGCGUGGGGAGCAAACAGG
rnacentral:rRNA from 1 species